rnacentral:lncRNA from 1 species
CUUGCUACAGAAUUUUUCGCUCUGCCCCCUGAGGAGAAGCUCAAGUUUGAUAUGUCCGGUGGGAAGAAGGGUGGCUUCAUUGUCUCCAGCCACCUUCAGGUACCAACUCUCUUACUCUGUCCCCUACAUAUAUAUACACACACACACACACAUACAUACAUACAUACAUACAUAUAUCAGUUUAUUAUUAGUUGUUUACGCAGAUUUUUACUUUAGCUAUCAUGUGUGUAUCCAUUUUGUUAAAAAUGAAAUUACAAUCUGCCUAACACAAAAAAUUUACAAUCAACAGGGUUAACGAUAUUUAAGAUUGACAUUAUUAUAUCAUUGCGCGCAUGUAUAGCUCAGAACCCUACGCCCAAAUAAAAUAGAAUCUAUAAUGAUAUAGAAAAUUCAAUGAGAUACCAUUAGUUUAAACAUAUCCUCAACUCACAAGUAGUUUAUUUUUCUUGGGUUUGCCCUCCUUGUUUUUCUCUUUAUCUUCAAUUUUUCUUCCUCGUGAAUUUUCUAGUUUGAAAUCUACUUUCACGUGUAUUAGAAAUAAGAAACUUGUUUUAUGACGUUCACCAAGCAUAU